GAAGAAGAAGAAGAACGUUUCCGGCUGCCCACAGUCCCGCGGGUAUUUGAAAGUAAUCAAGACACGAAUAUGGACACAAUAAAUGGACCGUCAUCUGAGAAAAGAGACAUAUUUCACAGAUGAGUGCAAAGUCCUCCUGGUGAUCGUCCCAAUAUGAACGAACAGAGGCUUGUACCGCGGGGAAAACCUGGAGUGACCAGAAAACUGUUUGAAUCAGACACAUCUCAAGAGUCCAUCAUUAAAGAGCGUCAGAGAAAAACAGGAUGUGUUGCUAUAGAUGACUCUCCAGGACUGUGUGAGACUGCAUACGACUUGAGAAAGACGACCCUUCAUCGUCGGCUCAAUCUGAAGAGGACUGAUGCUGGAAAAAGUGCCAGAAACACCAGACAGCACAACAACAGAUAUAAAUCUGUGUUUCAUGGGAAAAAUAUGUGUGAAAGUCAUUGCAAAGUACACUGUCCAUGUGUUGCCCCACAGUGAUCAUCAGACACGCAGACGGACUGGCCGUCAGGAGCACCGGGGGUUUUCCCAGUGGCUGCUGGGUAAUUUGGGCAGUCCAUCCUACAGGGAAUCUAGGCGGGCACCCUGGGCUCCAACAUGCCCGCGCAGAAAUGAAAAUGUAAAUGUUUGUUUGUGUAAAUAUGAGUGUAAUUAUAAAAUGCAAAUAUUGUGUAAUUUUUUAAAAGAACUGACUAUUUUAAUUAAAUGUCAUAUGUGAUAUUAUUGGUGAAUCGAAGAUUUCAU